rnacentral:rRNA from 1 species
UACGGAGGGUGCAAACGUUGCUCGGAAUCAUUGGGCGUAAAGCGCACGUAGGCGGUCCGUUAAGUCGGAUGUGAAAGCCCCGGGCUCAACCCGGGAAGUGCAUACGAAACUGGCGGACUCGAGUCCCGGAGAGGAGGGUGGAAUUCCUGGUGUAGCGGUGAAAUGCGUAGAUAUCAGGAGGAACACCGGUGGCGAAGGCGGCCCUCUGGACGGUGACUGACGCUGAGACGCGAAAGCGUGGGGAGCAAACAGG